UACAUGUUACAAGUUACAAUUGUCUGCCAAUCAAAUACGUAUUUGUUACAUGAUCUCUAUGCAUUAAGGAAUGUUAUCUGUCAACCUAAUAGCUAAUGUAUAUUGACAAGGCCGUUGGAUACUUUAGAGAACCAUCAUGAAACUUGAAAACUACAAGUAUAUUUAUUAUAGAGAAAUUAGGCUCCACAUACACAGAAAAUGUUAAAAUGAGAAGAAUACCCGACGCACUGUUGAACUUUUUUAAUACGAGAACACCCCUAUACAUCUACAGCUCAACUAUCGUGUACUUCUAGAUUUAGUGUCAGAGACUAAGAGCUAAGACCCCUAUUACACGUGAUGCAUUGUACUUCACUAUUACCCAAAAAGACAUCAGGGGUAAAUGAAAGAAGCAUCAAUUACAGUGUUUUGUUUUUUUAUUAGUGGGGUAGAUAGUCACAACCUUUCAUUUCUCUUUCUCUCAGAAUCCCAUAAUUUAUUUUUUUUUCUUCGUUCUAAAGAACCAAUGAGAUUUUAAAUUGGCGAAAUUUGAGAUUUUGCAGUUGCUGGAAUGCAUGUUUUCUGUCGGAGAUCUACAAAAUUUAUCACUCGACGAUAUGAACGAAGUGCAGUUGCCUGAACGCAAGUUCAUUUUCGGUGAAGAAACCGCGGUCGGCGAGAGGGUUAAAAAUGAAAGAGAAGAAUCAAAGGUCCCCCAGCCGGAGCCGGUAGUGGUGAUUGAGUCCGUCAGUAAGUCGGAGUCAGAGUGUGAUGACUUUCAAGUUGAAGAAGAAGAGAUUCACGUUCCACAGUCCCUAUUUAAAAAUCGUGUGUUACUGUGAACCAAUCACACACGAAAGAGUAGAUGAAAAAUGCAAGAUGUAGUGAAGGGAAAGGGGAAGGAGAAGACUGGUUGAUGAGAAUUAGAUGAUGAAGUGGCUGGUGGAAGGUGUGAUUGGUGGUGCCAGCCAUGUAACUCAAUCGCAUAUUGACACAUUUUGUUUGGUAUUUAUAAUGUUUUCUGAGAAGUAUAAUGUUAUAGUUUAAUAUUAUAUGAUAUAUUAGUGUUUAACAGUACCAGUUAAAGACAAUGACAGUACGUAAGUGUUUGCGCUAUCUAUUGUCCUUGUGUUGAUAAUUUUCAUUAACCAUAUGUACGACCAUGUAUAACUGAUAUACUAUAUGAUAAAAUAACAUUUGGUUAAAAUUCCAAGUGACUUGUAAGUGUUAUAUUAAUCUCUAAGAUAUGUCUUAUCGAUAAUAUUUUUGCAAGUGAAUCAUAUGUAUAGAAGAUAUCAAAAAGCAAAUUUGUCUAGUAUAUAAAUUAGCAGAUAUUCAUAAAAGAAAAAUUAGCCAAACAGAAGAAAGAUAUAUGCAACAUUGAUGAUCUAGUCGAUGUUGAAUUAUCUGAUGUACUCGACCCUAACCAUAUGGACAUCCUCGGUGGUAGAAGUUGAUAUAUGGUGUUUUAUACAUCUUGUAUAUAUGCCUUUAAAUUGGUCUUCAAGUCUUUAUCGAGUCUUCCUAGUCCUUUUGGAGUCAUUACAGGUCUGGAGUUGCAUUGGAUGGGAGAUGGAUCAGCUGGAACAAAAGAGGCAGAAAACAAUGCAAUUUGGUGGUUUUCACGCAGAACAGUCUUGAUGACUGUUCCGGAUAGCGGAACAACCCGAGUGACUGUUCUGAGUGAGUGUUCCAGCGGCAGAGAUUUUUUAGGAAACUACAAUCAUUACGGGAUUUGCCCUAAUUAUCCCUAUUUUCUCUCCCAGCCGCCUGUGGCUUUGAUAUAUCUUCUUUUUCUGUUUUUCCUUAUCAUUCUACGCUGUUUUUGGGAGAAGAAACCAGACCUUAGAGUUGGAGACUUGUGAUUUGAUACUUUGUAAAGGGAGAAGGCUCCAUCUCUCUCACCAUAGAGAAGAACCCCUUGAACCCUUAUUCUAUUUUAUCUACACAUGUUUUAUUCA